UCAAAUCGAUCGGAGUAAAAUUGGGAAAGUUAUGAGUAUUUGAACGUCCGUCGCCCCAGGCCGGGUUUUUAGUAUGCAAAAUUUUAAAUUGCUUUUUUAAACUUGGUGUUUUCGAAGUCCUUCCGUGCCACAUCACAAAAUCUACUGUACUUCUUCCCAUAAUUUUCCAGCCAAUUUGUUAGCAGAAAUCGGGAUUUGGCUUCAAAGUGUUACGAAAAAUUGAAAAAUCGACAAAAGAAAUCCUUCCGAAGUUACCUCGAGAUGACACCGCAAAACAUAUUGUUCAAAUGUUUCAGUUUGUAUGGACAUUGACUGGAAAUUGAGUCAAUAAGUUGAGACUAUCUGUAUCAACAAAAAAAAUCUUAAAAAUG